AAAGUCGUAACAAGGUUUCCGUAGGUGAACCUGCGGAAGGAUCAUCAAUAGUUCCAAAAAUACCUUCUUGAGCACUGUUAUUAAUGUAUGAGGGCAUGGGUGAUUGUUUAUUAUCGUAAGAUAUAUACCCACCCAUGUCUUUAGUUAUCAUAAACUCUUGUAAAUUUUAACUGUCUGAAACAUUAUUGUGUAAUGUAUAAUUACACUAUAAAAUAAUUGCAAUACAACUUGCAGCGAUGGAUCUCUAGGCUCUG
rnacentral:misc_RNA from 1 species